UACGUAGGGGGCUAGCGUUGUCCGGAUUUGUUGGGCGUAAAGAGCGUGUAGGCGGCCUGGUAGGUCUGCUGUGAAAACUCGAGGCUCAACCUCGAGCUGUCGGCGGAAACCACUUGGCUAGAGUCCGGAAGAGGAGAGUGGAAUUCCUGGUGUAGCGGUGAAAUGCGCAGAUAUCAGGAAGAACACCUAUGGCGAAGGCAGCUCUCUGGGACGGUACUGACGCUGAGACGCGAAAGCGUGGGGAGCGAACAGG
rnacentral:rRNA from 1 species